rnacentral:tRNA from 1 species
CAGUAGCUCAGCUGGAUAGAGCAUUUGCCUUCUAAGCAAAGGGUCAGGGGUUCGAGUCCCUUCUGG